rnacentral:tRNA from 1 species
GCAUUGAUAGCUUAAUUUUAGAGCAUAGCACUGAAGAUGCUAGGAUGGCGAUUUACGCCUCAAAGCA